UGGGGAAUCUUGUGCAAUGGACGAAAGUCUGACACAGACACGCCGCGUGCGGGAGGAAGGCUCUUGGGUUGUAAACCUCUUUUCUGGGGGACGAAGAUUGACGGUACUCAAGGAAUAAGCAUCGGCUAACUCCGUGCCAGCAGACGCGGUAAUACGGAGGAUGCGAGCGUUGUCCGGAUUUACUGGGCUUAAAGGGUGCGUA
rnacentral:rRNA from 1 species